rnacentral:lncRNA from 1 species
CCAGUCGUAUUAAUAAUGAAAAAUGAAGAAAAGCACUCAGGACCACAUUUUCUACUAAGCCAGUCAGGCCUGGCAGUGGUCUCUGUCCAGGGUAAGUGAAAAGAAGGUAUGGUCUUAGUUCUUACAAUAUAGCCAAAAUCAACAAAACGUUCAGCCUUAUUGGUUUAUUUUCAAUCUUGGCGGAAAGUUCAAAUAUUUUGCAAUUUACGAUUUUCAUUGGUCUGUUCUUUCACAUGGGCCAAACUUCUUGCCAAGACUGAAUCAAAACCAAAGCAACUUUGUGUUUUAUCAAAUACGGUAAAAGCAUAGCUUAGUUUCAUUCACCUUGGUUCUUGUCAGUCUUUUUCUAAUUCCAUGCCUACAAAUCUGUGGUGUAUUUUUCUCAAAUAGUUCCUCAAUAAGCGAAUUUUAUUUAGAGGUACGGUACUACUUUUGUGCCUGAACUUCCGAGCUGCUAUUCCAUUUGAGUUCGGAACUUCUGAUUUGGUGAGGAACGAAUCGCAAUGUUGGUGCUUGAUUUUGGUACCACCUCGUAAAGUGGUUCCAUAAAUGGUUCGACCUAUCAAAAACUAAUGGAUUUGAUCGGUCGAAUCUGGUAACAACGGUGUCCACUUGUGUUGGUGAUUGAUGAGACUAAUUGGGAUAGAACUUCCCAAAGAGAUUCGGAACUUUUAUUUAUUUAUUGAUUUAUUUUCAGCAUCAACAGGUCAUGAAGACCCAUUUGCUGGACAUUAUAACAAAACAAAGACACAAUAAGACGGCAAUAAGGUUUAAAAAUUCAAAAAACAAAAAAAACAAAAAACAAAACAAUAGUACAAUAAUAAGAUACCCUUUGUCAAAAAGUGACAGAAUUACAACAAAAUAAUGAAUUGAUUACCCAGAGAGAUCAGAAAGGAAUGUCCUCCUUGAGGCAGCUUUAAAAUUACAGAUUUUAGAAUUAAAGAGGUCAACUUGCUUAGAGUUAACAACCUUACUUUCAAUAACUUCAAUUUAAUACUUUAAAUAAAAUUCGCUUAAUCAGGUACUUUUUUUGUGUAUGAAAUAUUUUCUAAUGAGCAAUCCAGGAAAGAUUGGAAUUUAAAGUUGUACAUCCCAUAAAUUCGUUGUCAGUAUUUUUUAUUAUGAUUCUAUGCUCAAAACCAGUUUUUUUUAAUGUUUGAAUGUGCACGACAAAGGAGCAGGUCUAAUAUCCUCAACUUCAGCAUGGCAUAAUUUAUGAAAGACCCCUAUGUGAAAAUUCCUUUAAAUUUUUAAAACAUGAAGCAAACAUUUUCUUAAUUGCCUUGAAGUAUUAUUAGUUUGAUUUUUCAAUCAAAGAAAAUUAAAAUGACGAAUGUUUUUAUUUUUUACCUAAUGCUUUGUGACUUUUAUGUUUUCACUCUCUUUGUCCAUUAAAGGAGACCAUGUGUAAAUUUCUAUGCAACCAUAAGUUAUGUGAUAUUUCAUUUUAUUAUACUCAAUUCUUUUGUACCAUUAAAUUUUUUCUAAGUAACCCAUGUGUUUUCUGUUCAAUCUUUUGGAUUAUCACUCUCAAAAUGAAGAGAUAAUAACCACAAAUACUUCUAUGUUAGUGGUUGGCUAUUUUUUCCGGCAAAAUUUUAGCUCAAGCUCCUCAUUCAUCAAUAAAUUUGUUACAAAUUAUUUGUAAUCAGCAAAUCGGCAAGAAGGUGUGUCCCGAAGAUACAUUGUUAAACCUGGCAGUGCCGAAUGGAAAAAUUGAAGAAAAUUUUAAGAGUCAUAUUUUUUAAUUUAUGAAACACAAGAAAAACUUGCAUCAAACGCAUUUUGCAUACUGACGGUGUACUUAAGUCAGCAACCACAUAACUCGGUUUGGGACAUUGCAGACUUCCUGUCAUACCUACUUUAUUUUUUAAACCGAAAACUACUCAACGGCAAUUCUUUAAAACUGCCGUGAUUUUUCUUCUCUGUGCAAAGAAAAUUCUGCAUAGACUUCAAGGAAUGAUGUCAAUUCGUUCUCCUUUUAAAAAAUAACAUAGAUGCAGAAAUUUUCAGACACCUCAAACGAGAUAUGUGAUUGCGGACUUGCGCUGUCGAUAUAAGCCAUUGAUAUGAUGAAAGUGAGAAAAAAAUUUCUGCCCUCAAAAUUGUUAAUUUUUUUCUGUGAUAACUCAAUAAAUUGCAACAUCUCUGCUUUUCAGUUUUCAUUUACCUACUGUGCUAUUUUUUGAGCCCCUCAUUUCAACAGUUAUAGAAAAGAUUAUUCGCUCCAGUUGAGAGUAUAGAGAUCAUUCUAUUUAUUUAUUUAAAUCCUGCUUUUAUUCUUCAAAAAACUAUGUUAAACGUCCACAUUGCUGCGAAGUGGGUGUAAAUUUUAGUGCCUUAUGGCGAUGAGAGCUAUGGAAACCUGCAAGCGAGUGCAGUUCAAUGUGUAGCUGUCAAGUUGGUAGACUGUCUCGCGAGGAGUACGUGCGUGGGGGUAACUGCGCAGUGGUUCGUUCAAAAAUCCAACG